rnacentral:rRNA from 1 species
UACGGGGGGGGCAAGCGUUGUUCGGAAUUACUGGGCGUAAAGGGCUCGUAGGUGGCCAACUAAGUCGGACGUGAAAUCCCUCAGCUUAACCGGGGAACUGCGUCUGAUACUGGAUGGCUUGAGUGUGGGAGAGGGAUGCGGAAUUCCAGGUGUAGCGGUGAAAUGCGUAGAUAUCUGGAGGAACACCGGUGGCGAAGGCGGCAUCCUGGACCAUUACUGACGCUGAUGAGCGAAAGCCAGGGGAGCAAACGGG